rnacentral:rRNA from 1 species
GAUGAACGCUGGCGGCGUGCCUAAUACAUUCAAGUCGAGCGAACAGAUGAGGAGCUUGCUCCUCUGACGUUAGCGGCGGACGGGUGAGUAACACGUGGAUAACCUACCUAUAAGAGUGGGAUAACUUCGGGAAACCGGAGCUAAUACCGGAUAAUAUAUUUAACCGCAUGGUUCAAUAGUAAAAGACGGUUUUGCUGUCACUUAUAGAUGGAUCCGCGCCGCAUUAGCUAGUUGGUAAGGUAACGGCUUACCAAGGCAACGAUGCGUAGCCGACCUGAGAGGGUGUUCGGCAACACUGGAACUGGACCACGGUCCAGCCCCCUACGGGAGGCAGCAGUAGGGAAUCUUCCGCAAUGGGGGAAAGCCUGACGGAGCAAGGCCGCGUGAGUGAUGAAGGUCUUCGGAUCGUAAAACUCUGUUAUUAGGGAAGAACAAAUGUGUAAGUAACUAUGCACGUAUUGACGGUACCUAAUCAGAAAGCCACGGCUAACUACGUG